CGCAUCUGUGCAUGCAGCAUAUCAAUAAGCGGAGGAAAAGAAACUAACAAGGAUUCCCUUAGUAACGGCGAGUGAAGCGGGAAGAGCUCAAAUUUGAAAUCUUCAAGGUUUUACCUUGACGAAUUGUAGUUUAAAGAAGUGUUUUCUGUUGAAGUUUUGGUAAAAGUUCUUUGGAAUAGGACAUCAUAGAGGGUGAGAAUCCCGUAUUUGACCAUUAUUUUCAGCUGUGUGAUACACUUUCAAAGAGUCGGAUUGUUUGGGAAUGCAGUCCAAAAUGGGUGGUAAAUUUCAUCUAAAGCUAAAUAUUGGCGAGAGACCGAUAGCGAACAAGUACCGUGAGGGAAAGAUGAAAAGAACUUUGAAAAGAGAGUUAAACAGUACGUGAAAUUGUCAAAAGGGAAGCGUUUGACACCAGUGUUGUUUUCUCGAAAAUCAAUUAAAAAGAGUUUAGAUUUUGUUGUGUAUUGACCUUAACAGCUUGCAUUUCAAUUUUCUUGCUUUUUUUAAUGCACUUUUCGUUUAACAAGUCAACAUCAGUUUCUUUUGUUGUAAAAAGGUCAUUGGAAGGUGGCUUUCUUUUCGGAGAAAGUGUUUAUAGCCUUUGACUCCUGCAAUCGGAGAGACUGAGGUCUGCAGCGUAGAUCCUUCGGGGUUAGAUACAUUUGUGCUAAGUUAUAGCUUUUUAUAGACAACUUGUUGACUAUGAUUAGUCUUGUAGCUUACUCGCUUAUGCUAUUUUACCUACGCUUAGGAUGUUGAUGUGAUACUGCGAGC
rnacentral:rRNA from 1 species